CUCAGGUGUUGUUCCACCCAGGUUCCUUUAGGUGUGGGUUUCCGCCCACCUCCCCAGGGGAAUUUUGGGAGGGUAAAUAACCGGUUCUGUCUUCAUUCCUGUGAACCUUUUACCUGUUUUCCAGAGUUCAGCCCUGGACCAGACUCAUUGUCCUCCCUGAUGACUUGACGUCUCUGUCUGUCACCGAGACGCAGAUACAAAGACGACGCACAAUGAGACGCAGCACUGCCUCCGGUGGCCGCCUGGCAUCCUGACAGGGUCUCUUUCAAAGGUUACAUGUCAAUCCCAUCUGACAGCCGUGAUAAAGACUUUGGGAUCUGGGCAGGAAUCAAUGUUGUGAAACGGCACCAAGUUAUGCAAAACCGAGCAAUUAUUACAACUUGUUUCCUUGUUUUAAUGUUGUGACCUGACAGCAAAUGUACUGUUACUGAGCAUUACUUAUAAACACUGAAAAAGUACAGAGAGAGGAUGUUUUUUUUCUAAACUCUGGUGUGUUUCUGGGAGGUUAAAGUGUUAUUUUCCCUCAGUUUCAAUGGGAUACAGUAAAGUUCAUAUCUAGUCUGAACCUCUAAGUGUCCCCAAUGUGCCUUUCAAUGGGAAUAUUUGGAUUUGUUGGGUUUUCCAUGUACAAUUUUAUCGAAUAUGAACCAUUAUUGUAAAUAUACUAAAAUUUGGAAGGUUAAUCUUCUUCCUUUUUUUAGUUUGAAAAAGUUUUCAUAAAACAUUAGUCCUUUUACAUAGUCUCAGUAUUGCUGCAAGUGGAUUUACAUUCCGUACGACUAAAAUAAAAUAUACCGCAGUAUGUUGAUAA